UACAGAGGGUGCAAGCGUUAAUCGGAUUGACUGGGCGUAAAGGGCGUGUAGGCGGUAGAUAAAGUGAAUGGUGAAAGGCCUGGGCUUAACCGAGGCAUGGCGAUUCAUACUGGUUUACUAGAGUCUGAGAGAGGGAAGUAGAAUUUCCGGUGUAGCGGUGAAAUGCGUAGAGAUCGGAAAGAAUACCGGUGGCGAAGGCGACUUUCUGGCUCAAGACUGACGCUGAGACGCGAAAGCGUGGGUAGCGAACAGG
rnacentral:misc_RNA from 1 species